GUGGAUGUGGCUCAGUAGCAGAGUACCUGCCUGGCAAGCUUAAGGCUCUGGGCUCAAUUCCCAGCACCCCA
rnacentral:tRNA from 1 species